rnacentral:rRNA from 1 species
CCUACGGUGGGCAGCAGUGAGGAAUAUUGGUCAAUGGGCGCGAGCCUGAACCAGCCAAGUAGCGUGAAGGAUGACUGCCCUACGGGUUGUAAACUUCUUUUAUAAAGGAAUAAAGUGAGGCACGUGUGCCUUUUUGUAUGUACUUUAUGAAUAAGGAUCGGCUACCUCCGUGCCAGCAGCCGCGGUAAUACGGAGGAUCCGAGCGUUAUCCGGAUUUAUUGGGUUUAAAGGGAGCGUAGGCGGGUUGUUAAGUCAGUGGUGAAAGUUUGCGGCUCAACCGUAAAAUUGCAAUUGAUACUGGCAGUCUUGAGUACAUUUGAGGUAGGCGGAAUGCGUGGUGUAGCGGUGAAAUGCUUAGAUAUCACGAAGAACUCCGAUUGCGAAGGCAGCUUACUAAGCUAUCACUGACGUUGAUGCACGAAAGUGUGGGUAUCAAACAGGAUUAGAUACCCUAGUAGUC